CGCGGUUGCCAUUGGGCAGCCGGGCACGUCCGUCUGUGAGCUCACAAUCCGUGAUUGGCUGAAACCAAUGCCCCCCUUUUCGCUGGGAAGAUGGGUUUUGGGGGAAGAGAGGGAGGCGGCGAGGUGUGUGGGCUCCCCGGAUCCACUCUUCCUGUUCUCCGACGAGGGCGAACCCUUCUCCUUUUUUUAGGGGACAGGCUUGAGGCUUCUUUGAUAGCACUCAGCUGAAUUCCUUGCAUCGAAAACCCUUGAUGCGAUGAGGCUAGACUUCCCGAUCGCGGGAUAGAGAUGAUCGUUCGGAAAAGCAAAAACAACACAGCCAUGUGCAAGGGGAUUAAAAGGGCGCUGGAACAACAAGAGGACAGGGAGCCAAAUGCAGAGCAUGAGUGAGGAAUGUCCCGGAUGCCAUAAAUAAUAAGACAGAACUGCAGAGCGGGGGUGAACUGACGCUGAGCAGUGCGCUGCGUGGCUGCAGCUUCAUCUUGCAGAGGAAAACUGCGGCAGCCACGACGAUAUUAAUAUCUCUGGCAUUUGCUGCAGACCGCGAGACACUGGGACUGGCUCUGCUCUGCUGCCCUUGGGCAGAAGCAGCAAAGGCUGCGAAGAUGCAAAUACUGCCAAGCAAAGGCUCCUCUGCUGCCCUGUAUAAGGAUGGAGAAGGGACUGAACGAAGGGAAGUUUCAGAGAUUGGUCUCCCGGCUGUGGGUACUGGAUGUCAAUUGUAUGAAGCUGGAUUUACAUUUUUGUAAAAUUGGGGAGGGUGGGGAAGGAAGGAUGGGUGGGAAACAAGGCGAACCUCCUUGCAACACCAUGUUUUGCCUUGUGUGCCGGCUCCAUGGUCUGUGUGUGCAGGCAGAAUGGAAGAGAUCUGUCUUCUCACCCAGCAACCACGUGGCAUCUCUGCCCCUGUUCACUGCACUCCCCUGCGCAAUGCAGAUCCGACGCCUUUCUGCUCUGUGAAACAUCCCCACCUCUGUCUGGCCAAAUGCAAGGUGGUUCUUUUGAAAUGAGAUUCGCAAGUAAUAUAAAAUGCAAGUGAGUGAGAAGGUUAAAGAUUUUAUUCUUUUUUUUAAUGCUUUUUAUUGAUUUUCCAAAACAAAAAUAAAUAAAGCAUAUACUCUUGCAUUCAA